rnacentral:rRNA from 1 species
UACGGGGGGAGCAAGCGUUGUUCGGAUUUACUGGGCGUAAAGGGCUCGUAGGCGGCCAACUAAGUCCGACGUGAAAUCCCAAGGCUUAACCUUGGAACUGCGUCGGAUACUGGUUGGCUUGAAUUCGGGAGAGGGAUGCAGAAUUCCAGGUGUAGCGGUGAAAUGCGUAGAUAUCUGGAGGAAUACCGGUGGCGAAGGCGGCAUCCUGGACCGACAUUGACGCUGAUGAGCGAAAGCUAGGGGAGCAAACGGG